UGAGUAGGACACGGGAUUGGGAAUGGU
rnacentral:piRNA from 1 species